CAGCCAUCCAUCUCACCGUCAUCUCCCCAAAGCAGAACUCUGUCCCUGGCUUGAGGGGGUCCAGCUGAAUGUAGGGCCCUUGAUGAGCCUUUGAAUUUGCUUGAGCACUCUCCAGAUCCUCUCCUAUGAAUAUGAGGCAAGAAUGGGUUAAUUCCAGACACAUUUCACAAGCUCAAUAACAUGUGAAAACUGAGAUGGAAAUCUGCACUUUAUUUGUUUUCGGUCCUGAUUAUUUAGAGAGCAGAAAAUCAUAAUUUACAGUGCCAAUUUUCGGUAUUUUUAACCAGAUCAUGGCUUAAAAUACUGGAAAGAUUUAAGAGAAAUAACAAGACACCAUCUGCCUGUUUUUUUUGUGAUUCUGCUAAAUGUUUAUGGAUGCCUGUUGAUUUAGAGGUGGAAUUAAAACAAGAGCUGAAGUUGAAAAUUAGGGCUGUUGAUGAAGAAAAAUGCAAUUUUCCUCUUCAUGCAAUAAAUUAAUAUCAAUAAUUUGGGAAAAGGAAAGACUUGCAAGGAAUUUCCAGAGCAGUGACUCCUGGUUAAUUGUCUUUUAAGAUGCACCCCGUUCUCAGUUGCAUGGUACACUUGUUGAAUUUAUUAAAAUGACACAUCUAUUUGUAACCCUCUGAUAGGAACCUGAUUAAAUGUUUUGCCUGACUCGUUGGAGUCAGCCAUGUCUCUUCUAAUAAAUGUCGAUUACAUUUGCUGUUCAUUUUUACAUUUGCAGUCCCAUUAAGGUUUAAGAAGGUUUAAGAUAGCAAGUUUCUUUGUGGUGUGUGUGUUAAUAGGAGAGCUGGCUUCAAUGAGAAAGUGUGAGGUUUUCUUUGUUGUUUUCUUCUUCCCCUUAUAUCACAUUAACAUUCAUUGACAACCACUCCUUCAGCUGCUGGAACGAGAACUGUUUAUAACAGAUCAUACCAUGGCUGAGGUGCUUCCCUUGUGUCUCACAGCGUGCAUUCAGGCACACAGGCACUCUGGUUGUGUUAUCUUUGGUGACCAAUCAUUUUCAUACAACACCUGCUGCUGUGUAGAGCCAGGAAGAACUCCAGAUCCUUUCUCCUCAAGAGCUGGUGAUGAGCCUGGAAGGUCUUCUUUCUGGUUCUUCGCAAGCAAACACAAUCCUUGUGGAAUCAGUGUUUGCAAAGAUCAAUGACAUCUCCAUUUCUGAGCUGUAGAUAUUUACCUACUGUAGUGUUAUUAUUUUACUGCUUUUAAUUCUACACUUUUAAAGAUCAUAUGUUUUGAAGAGAGGACUUGGCUGAAAUUCUGCCUUACAGUAUAACUGAACUGGGCACAAACCUUGUCCUGGUUUGUAGCAGUUGGCCAAUGAAACAAAGGGAGCUGUGCUGUGGGGCAGCCCCUGGGGAAGGAAACGGAGCUGCCUCUGGGAUGUGCCAUGUGUCAGAGCUCAGACAGCUGCUCCAUCACACUCUUCUCACCUGGGUCCUAAGUGCACAGAUACUAGCAGACAGCUCUGUGUCUUACAGCAUGGCUCUGUGUCAUCAAUUGCUUUAACCUUCCCAAGCUACACAGUGUCUGACCUGGAUAACAUUGGCCUCCUGGUGUCUUCAAGUGUGAAUGAAAACAACUUCCAGGAAAACUCCCUGCAUUGCUCUGAAGGAAUCUGACAUUUCUGUGCCAGAGGAUACAGACAGCUGGGUUCAGUGCUUUCCUCCAAUGUGGUGGCAGAGGUUUAGAUGUGAAAGUCUUCUCUAAUGUGCUUCAAAGGGAUUUGGUCCUUAGAAAGAAGUUUGCACAAAUGGGUGAAAUGUCUUCUAUUUGGGAUGACACAGAGAACACCGCUGGUUCUGAGACUUGGCAAUUAACUGCAUCCCUUCCCAUUCUCCAGGUGCUGUUUCAAAUAGGAUUUAAUCUCUUGAGCGAGGAUUGUGCAUGCUGCAGCUUCAUAAACUGAAGGAAUGUUUACAUAUGUAUUUAAAUACCAGAGCUUCAUAAAUAAAGUCGGGUUUGUAGCAAAACAACCUAAAAGAACAUUUUCUAUUAAUAUAUGCACAUAUUUUCAGAGAGACAAUAUUUGUUUAACAAUUCUUAUCUCGAGAGUGCUUAUAUGAUGUAAAGUUUUUAUUCCCAUGCCUUAUUUUCCUAAUGACCUAAUUUCAUUACCUUUACAGCAGAGUCAGAAAAAAUUCUCUGCAAGCAGCAGGCCUUUCAAAGCACAGUGAGGCUUAAGGCUCAGCAAUGGAUUUGUAUAUCCCAUUAAUUUUCUUAAUUGUAAACAAAGCCUCGGUGCCUUGUGUAAUAACCACAUUUCAAAACAGCAUGUGGCUCAUUAAAGUCCUAACAUCUGAACCUGUGGAGUAAAGGUAACCAAAUAAUUAAUCUGAGUAGUGUUCCUUUGAUUAGUGAGUGUGUGCCCACUAGAAGGCACUGUCUGCUAGUUAUAAAAUGAGUGAAGAAAGAGCUUCAUGUAGAGAAUUCCACAUGAAUAUCUCCAGAACAGCAGACAGAUGUAAUUUUAGGAGAUGGGCAGUG
ensembl:lncRNA